CGUCUCGUCAAAAGACCUGAAUACUGGUCGCAUGGAAUAAUGGAACAAGACCUCGGUCCCGCGCAUCUCCGCCAUUCGCGGGCGCGCGAAAUCGCCCUCCGGGGCGUUUCCCGUGCGCGGGCCGCCGGGCCGCGGGCGCCAGUCGCCCGCGCGUCCCGCCGGGCCCGGUUUUCGGGACCGGAGGUAAUGAUCAACAGAGACGGGGCGGGGGCAUUCGUACCGAGACGUUAGAGGUGAAAUUCUUGGAUCGUCUCGAGACGAACUGACGCGAAAGCAUUUGCCAAGUACGUUCUCGUAUGAUCAAGAACGAAAGUUAGAGGUUCGAAGGCGAUCAGAUACCGCCCUAGUUCUAACUGUAAACGAUGCCAGCUAGCGAUCCGCCGGCGUUUCAUUAACGACCCGGCGGGCAGCUUCCGGGAAACCGAAGCUUUUCGGUUCCGGGGGAAGUAUGAUUGCAAAGUUGAAACUUAAAGGAAUUGACGGAAGGGCACCACCAGGAGUGGAGCCUGCGGCUUAAUUUGACUCAACACGGGAAACCUCACCAGGCCCGGACACCGGAAAGAUUGACAGAUUGAGAGCUCUUUCUUGAUUCGGUGGGUGGUGGUGCAUGGCCGUUCUUAGUUGGUGGAGCGAUCUGUCUGGUUAAUUCCGAUAACGAACGAGACUCUGUCCUGCUAACUAGGCGGGUAAACCCGGGUCGGCGUGUGCGCGGCGCUGGCGGUUUCGGCCGUCAGUGUUCGCGUACCCGUCGGCUCGGCCCGGUAUCCCCGAACGCGUUCGCCCGUCGUCCACGGCGGUCGUCGGGCGCGGCCGCGCCAUCCGCGUCCCGGCGUUCGGCGGGCGUAUGUCGGCCGGGGGGCAACCUCCGGUCGGCCUGCGUCCGUCGUGCGUCGGGCUCCGUGGUGAAGCGCGCCGUGUUCGCGGCCGUCGCCGGCGGAUCACGAUACGUUACUAGGGCUACCGCCGGCUCCCAGGAGCUUAAACUCUUCUUAGAGGGACAGGCGGCGGACGAACAUAGCCGCAC
rnacentral:ncRNA from 1 species